GGGGUGCAAAACAAAUACUCCCCCCCACACACAUGCAUACAUACAUACACGCCCAGCUUUACUCCACCUCCCACACAAAACUACUUUUGAUUGAUACACUUUUUAAAAUAAUGUUUGAAAUAGUUCUAAAGUCAUGAAUUUGGGGGUGAAUGGAUCUAUCUGAAAAAUCUAUAUUUAGCUUUGCAAAGGGUUUAUGAAAACUUGUUUUUAUUUUGAUUGUUGUGGGUUCACGCCCCUGGAGUUUCGUUUUGACUUUUUGGGUUAAAUGAGUUUCAAAAUGAAACUCUUCCAGUUGUCAAAAUUUCCCCCAAGUUUUAAUUUAAAAACUGGAGGCUUUCUUAUUCCAUAGGUUCUGAUUAUUAGUCUUUCUCCAGAAGUCCUCUCCUCUCCUAGUAGCAAGCUGACCAUAUCCUUCAUGCUGUGUGUUUAACGCCUUUCUCUUCCUUAAUGCCUUGGGAAACAGCAACCAAUUGCCAAGGGAAAGCCCUUGGUUGAAGUGUCAAAAGAGUUGAGCCCAUAUUCUUUCUUUCUUUUUUUUUUUUUUUUUUGAAGAUUUUGUUGUUAAGUAAUCUCUACACCCAAUGUUGGGUCAAACUUACAACCCCAAGAUCAAGAGUCACAUGUUCUACCUACCGACUGAGGUAUCCCAGAGCCCCUUAUUCUUGUCGUGAGUGGCAAAGCAAACUUUAUCAGAGACUUGCCUCAGUUUUCCCACUGGAGAAAUGGAAUGCAAAUAUCUCCUCUCUAUUUUUAAGGGUGCUGUGACCAGAAAACCGGGUUGAACUUUAGUGUCAGUUAAGGAAUAGUAUUCCUCCUACGUGAAAGUUGUUGUCAUAGGAAGGGAUUCAUCCACCAAAUAUUUUUACAAGCAUUUGAGGCUUCAGGACUUGAUAUCGGAAGCUACAAAGUGUGAAUUCUUGCUACUCCAGAAAGGUACAGCCACACACAGGUCCUCUGGUUGGCAAUGAGAAGGAUGAAUUAUUAAGCCAAUCUAAAAAGAUAAUAAGGUGAAUGAGCUAAACAACACUCUAUACUUCCCUCUAUUAUCACAAUUUAUUAGGAUUACUUUUUUCAUGCCUGUUAAACAUUAUGCAAAAUGUUUAAUAAGCUACAACUAUAUUCAGCUAAAUACAGCUAUAUGCAUUUCCUAUUGCUGCUGUUAUAAAUUACCAUACGCUGAGUGGCUUUAAGCACAAUGAAAUUUAUUAUCUUUCAGUGUGGGAGGUCAGAAGUCCGAAAUCAGUGUCACUAGGCUAAACUCAAUGAGUCAGCAGGGCUGUGCUCCUCUUGGAGGCUCUGGGGGAGAAUCAGUUUGUUGCCUUUUCAGCUUUUAAAAGUUGCCUAGGUUCCUUGGCUCCUGGUCCUGUAUUUCUGUGACCUCUCAUAAGGACCUUUCUGAUUACAUUGGGCCCACCUAGAUAAUUCAGAAUAAUCUCCCUAUCUUAAGAUCCUUCACUUUGUUACUUCUGCCAAGUCCCUUCCUUCAUUUAAGGUAACAACAUACUUGCAGGGGUCAGGAUGAAGACAUCUUUGGUGGGCCCAUAUAAAAGCAGGAACCCAAUCUCCCCUGCUCUGUGUUGAUCCCAUUACCUAGCACACACCUACGUCACAGCAGGCACUUACUAUAUACAUAGAAUGAACAGAAGAAAUAGAUUAUGCCUGCUGUUGGCAGUUCAGUCCAUCAGAUGCUUAUUGAACACCUACUACGAGCCAGACCCAAGGGGCACAGAGCUGUCCUGGAGUGCACUGCCUGACAGGCAGACCGUCAAGGAGGAAACUGAAAGGAGCAACAGCAAGCCUGGUUGUCCAGAGCCCGAAAGAGCAAGGGCACCUUAAUAAUUCUGUCUGUAUCCUUGCAGUUUCCUCCUUUAGCUAUUGGCUGCUGUCUUCUUGAAGAAUUCUUUGAACACAUUCCCCUUGGCAAACAUGAUUAAUUAUAUUCACAUUUAUUUCUUUAUUUCUAGUCCACCCCCCCCCCCCACCUCUGGGUACUCUUCUGAUGUGCCUAGAAUUUCUACUGAGAAUUAUUAAAAGAAUCAAUGAUCAAGUCUCAGCAGAACCUCCCCAUCCCCACCCAUGUGCCCCACUCAGGGAAAGCUCAGGGGGCUUCAGGGAGGUCUGAAGUGCAGCUCAGAACCACAGAAUAGGUUAAAUGGGUUUCCUGAGCCAGGCUGGGAGCCUAAGCACUGUAGCUUAUUGGUUUUAUGUGUAAAUGCAUUUCAAAUUUCAAAUAGUGCGGAUACACAUGUGACCCUUCAGAAUAUACCUGUUAGCAAGUUACAGAUGCCUGCUCAUGCACCAGUGUCCAGAACCUGAAUUUCCCUGACUCAUUUCAGAGCAACUCAGGUGAGUUACAGAGUAUCAUAUGGUUUAAAGCCUUUUCUACAGGAGGCCUUCUGGUUUCAGAAGGACUGUGCAGAUGCAGGCCUUCUAAGGAUCCAAUAGCCAUCAUCCGUCUAACUUAAACUUGGGGCUUUUUGCAUUUCUCCCCUUUCCCCUUCUCUCUGUCUCUCUCUCUCUCUCGCAGUAUGAAAGGGAGUCCAGUUUAUCUAAUAUUUAAGCAGCAAGUUUGGAGGAGAAGUCAAUGGGAGGUUGAGGACAGAGAGCUCCAGAAGCUCCAGUGGCCACAGAGGACAGAAGUGGGAUAUACCAGUGGCUGGUGGGGCCAGGUCUAGAUGCAGGUCACUUGAAAGAUGAGGACUGUCUGGUAUUUGCAAACGCACAUCUUCCCUCCCCUAAGGGCACUGGGUUCUUGCAGAAAUACAUAUUUACCCAUUUUUGAAAGGUUGAUGGGUCUUCCUGGAGUUUGAAAAGAUGCCUCUGUUGUUCAAAAGGUAUGAGUUACGUUGUGAACACAUUUGGUUCAAGUUUAGUCUUGAAAGCUUUUCCUCUACAACUUCUCAUGUCCUAUUAGCUGAUAGCACUCCUGAGCAUGAAUGUUUUUGUGCUGCUGCCCUUUCACUGGUGGAAGUUGGAAAAAAUACAGAGUGCUAAUCCCACGCACCUGCUUUCAAUUCUGCCCACAUGGUUUUGGAGUAGGAGGUCUGUUCGCUCCGAAUAUUUCUACACAGUUUUCAAAACCUGCAUUUUUCCAUGCUAACACAUCUCCGCUUGUCGGCACCUAAUUGAACACACACACCCACCCCAUGUGUUCACAUGCUUACCCUUUACCUUCUCAGAGUCUGUGAGUAUGUGCUAGGAUGACCACUAGAUGGCAGUAUUUGAAACACUCCCUGCGUGCUCAGGUGAAGAAAGUUUGACAACUACCCAGAGCUGGGGUUCCCAGAUAUUAAUCUGUAGAAUUUUUUAAAAAGAAAAAAGGGAACACUACAUAGGCUUGUCAAGUUUUUGUUUUUACAGGGAACAUGAUUAAGAUAUAAAUCAACUUCCACUCUUUCCUGAGAGAAACAUUUUAACUAUAAAGAAAUAGGAAAGAUGGAAUCUAAACAUUGGGGAUUUUUCUCUAAACCUAACAAAUGUAGCUUUAUGGAAAGCUGACCACAUUGUCCUUUUGUCUUCAUUUUGAUGCCAACCAAGGAAAGUGUCAUCAUGGACAGCAUUUGGGAAAUAAACCUAGAGGACAAUUUGCAAUUCCAGGAUGGUUUCCUUGAGUGAAAUCAAGAUCCUUGGGCUGCACUAUCUUAUCUCCAAAUUGACCCUGAGACCUAUGGAUUUCCAUCGAGAGGCACAAAAGAGAAGCAACAAUUGCACUUGAUCAAACCAGAUUUGAUAAAAGUAAGAAGCGUGUAUCCAGACAACUACCUAGGAAUCCCUUCACAUAUGCUGGCUGUGUUGCUGAGCUACCUGCCUGAUCAUCUGGACUCCUUCGGUCUUCCUUUGCUUGUCAGGAUCAAAGAGGAUCAGUGUCAAGCCUCCCUGGCCUUCGGGAUGAGCCCAUCUAGGUGAACUUCUGCUGAGACAGGCCUGCAGGAUCUUCAUGCCGGUCCCAGGUUGCUGUGUGAGGGCGGCACCAACCCAGACCCUCCAUCUUGGCAUCUUGCUCUUACUCACCAAAGAAUUCUGCAAUAGAACACGGGGCCCUAUCUGCGUGCCCCCUCUUCUGUGGCAGAGGUAAAUAUUCCAUUGCUGCCGAAAUUUCUAUUCAAGAUGGAUUGAAGAUGCCCACCAACCAGUUUGUCUACCUGUGCACAUGCCAAGAUCAUGAGGGCUCUUACCCCUGGCUGGGCUACAUGGAGGCAGAGGUACCAAGAGAGCCAGGACUCUUUUUCCAAGAGUGGUCCAAUUCCAGAUAUUAGGUCUCCUUUAGAUGCCAGCUUCUGACCUGCUUCCUCCUGGCCUAGGCCUUCCUUUAUUCAUGGCUGACAUUACUUGCUUUGGAAGCAAGUAUCAAAAGAACCGGGGCGCCUGGGCGACUCAGUCAGUUGAACGUCUGACUCUUGGUUUCAGCUCAGGUCAUGAUUGCAUGGUUCCUGGGAUCGAUCCCCGCAUUGAGCUCUGUGCUGCUGGUGCGGAGCCUGCUUGGGAUUCUCUCUUUCCCUCUCUCUCUGCCCCUCCCCCAUUCAUGCUCUCUCAAAAUAAAUAAAUAAAAUGUAAAAUAUAUAUGUAUCAAAAGGCCCUACCCUAGGAUACCUCUGGCCCAAGCACAGAGCCUGGAUCUCAUUCAUCAUCAUAAAGGACAGUGGACAGUGUAGGGUACCUGAAGGCCUUGGGCUUUCAGAUCAUGCAGACCUGAGUGUGAACUCUGGCUUCACUGUGUGCCCACUGGGAGGUUGGGUGAUUUAGUGAAAUGCUCUGCACUUCAAGUUCCUCAUUUGUUAGCAGGGAUUUAUAGUCUGCUUUGCACAGGCUUUGGCUGAAGAUGAAAUGUGACAGCUGUGUAAAGCUUAAAUAUGGUCCCUGGCACAUAGUCAGUGAUAAGUACCCCCCCCCCCCCCCGACUCUGAGGCUCUGCCCGGACCCUUGCCUGAGCUCCUGCUUCCUUUUUCUGUGCCCCUUAGUAUCUUACUUAAUUCCUGUCACAGGAGGUAUUUGGGCCUAUUUUCUGAGCAAGUGCCAGCCCCACACCACCAUUUCUACCUCCUUCUGCCCCACUUCCACCCUUCACUUCUAGGUCUGUGGAGCCAAACCUGAGGGCCUGGACUCCUGCUGGAUGGGACCCUAUGUCCCAGGGACAUGGAAGAUCCAAACACAGUCCUCUGGCAGACUCUGCACUAUUAACUACUGAUUUGAGGGCAGUGAAUCCCCUGUGGUCUGUCUAGGGGGCAGGUGAUCAAGACUGUGGCAACAAGGGCGUUAGACCUUGCUGCUCAAAGUGCGCUCUGUGGACAGCAACACUGGCAUCACCUGCAAGCUUGUUAGAAAUGCAGAAUCCUGGGCCACUGAAUCAGAAUAUGCGUCUUAACAAGAUCUCCGGUGAUCCAUUUUCCGGUGGAUAUCAAGGCUUGAGAAGCCCUGGACUGGACCCCAGAAGACAAGGGCCCCAGGAAUCAUUUCUACAAGAGAACGUGGAUUCUUCAUUCCAGGGAUGAGCAUUGGUUUCUAACAGAGAAUCCAAUAGCCAUUGCAGGACCUGCUGAGCAGCCUUUGUGAAGGAAAGCUCCAAGGAGGACAGGACACAGCACAAUGAGACACUCAGCACUGACACAGCAUUCUGCACUUUGCACAAUUAAGGCUCUCACCUCUCCUCACCCUGCAGGGAGAAGGUGGCAGUAUUGACAGGUCUUGAUGGCUGAGGUAAGAGGCUCUGAGCAUAACUGACUUGCUUGAUGCACACAACUGGACUGUCACAGGCACAGCUCAGCAUUCUGGAUCCCUUUCUCAUGUCAACCAGUCUUUCCCUUACCUUGGAAUAUAAUCCCUUUUGACAUAUACAUCACACUCUAAGGUUCUUCAUAAGGAGGCAGUCUGGACUAGAUCAGUGUUUCCUAGAGGUGGGAUGUCACAGAGCAGUAAAAUAGUUGAAACUAAAUUUAAGGGUGACCAAGUUUAGAAUUGCCAGUUUUAUUUUGCUGACCGGAAAUGCUAAGAAAAUCUAUGAUCAGAAUUAUGUCAUAAAAGAAAAUAAAUGUUGACAUUAAAAAAAAAA